rnacentral:rRNA from 1 species
GUGGGGAAUUUUGGACAAUGGGGGCAACCCUGAUCCAGCAAUGCCGCGUGCAGGAAGAAGGCCUUCGGGUUGUAAACUGCUUUUGUACGGAACGAAAAGGCUCUGGUUAAUACCUGGGGCACAUGACGGUACCGUAAGAAUAAGCACCGGCUAACUACGUGCCAGCAGCCGCGGUAAUACGUAGGGUGCAAGCGUUAAUCGGAAUUACUGGGCGUAAAGCGUGCGCAGGCGGUGCUGUAAGACAGGCGUGAAAUCCCCGGGCUUAACCUGGGAAUGGCGCUUGUGACUGCAGUGCUGGAGUGUGGCAGAGGGGGAUGGAAUUCCGCGUGUAGCAGUGAAAUGCGUAGAUAUGCGGAGGAACACCGAUGGCGAAGGCAAUCCCCUGGGCCUGCACUGACGCUCAUGCACGAAAGCGUGGGGAGCAAACAGGAUUAGAAACCCGAGUAGUCC